CUGAAAGGUAGAGAGACUGUCGCUGGCUAUUCGUUUAGCAUGUGCACGUCCCCUCACUUUUUCUAGAUUCUAGACUAGAUCAUCUAUACCACACACACCUGUGCACCUAUUGUAGAUCCCCUGAGAGGGGGAACUAUGUUUUCAUUAUAUCACACACACAUUGUAUGUCGAGAAUGUAAAACGAAAACAAUAUACAACUUUCAGCAACGGAUCUCUUGGCUCUCGCAUCGAUGAAGAACGCAGCGAAUUGCGAUAAGUAAUGUGAAUUGCAGAUUUCCAGUGAAUCAUCGAAUCUUUGAACGCACCUUGCGCUCCUUGGUAUUCCGAGGAGCAUGCCUGUUUGAGUGUCAUUGAAUUCUCAACCAUUCUCUUUAAGAGAGAGACAUGGCUUGGAGUUGGGAGUUGCUGGCAAGGAACUGUCAGCUCUCCUUAAAUAUAUUAGCGAUCGAGUUGACUAGUCUCUGACAUGCACGGCCUCUGACGUGAUAAUGAUCGUCAUGGCUGGAGUGUCUUUCCUGGACUAUGUACACAGAUGGCUUCUAAUUUACAUUUGGAAAGAAAGGGA
rnacentral:rRNA from 1 species